rnacentral:rRNA from 1 species
UACGGAGGAUCCGAGCGUUAUCCGGAUUUAUUGGGUUUAAAGGGUGCGUAGGCGGCCUAUUAAGUCAGGGGUGAAAGACGGUAGCUUAACUAUCGCAGUGCCCUUGAUACUGAUAGGCUUGAAUGUACUUGAGGUAGGCGGAAUGUGACAAGUAGCGGUGAAAUGCAUAGAUAUGUCACAGAACACCAAUUGCGAAGGCAGCUUACUAAAGUAUGAUUGACGCUGAGGCACGAAAGCGUGGGGAUCAAACAGG